AAGUCGUAACAAGGUUUCCGUAGGUGAACCUGCGGAAGGAUCAUUAAAGAAUUAGGCUUCGCGGCCAAGUUCUCACCCUUUGUAUACCGAAACCAUGUUGCUUUGCGGCCGGCCUUGCUUCGCGGCGCCAGAGGUUAUAAACCCUAGAAUCUCUGCUGUCUGAGUACUAUACAAUAGUUAAAA
rnacentral:misc_RNA from 1 species